rnacentral:RNase_MRP_RNA from 2 species
UCCGCGUUCGAAGAAUCGCAUUCAAAGCUCACGCACAGCAGAAGUCUCCUCUGAGAUAUCUGCAGACCAACUAGUCGCCAUUCCCCCACACAGGGAAAAGGCCCAGCUUUGGGAGAAAGUCCCCGGACCGCCCUACCUCUGCUCUCUUCGGAGAGUCAGAGAACGUUAGGACCUGCCGAAAGGCAACCGCCAUAAAAGCAACCUUUCACUGCGGUUUCUUUGUUUCUUGAACAUCCUUUUUCUUUCGCCUCCCUCUCUUCUCCGAGUCACCUGCUGUCCCUCAAUCUCCGACCUCGCUGUCGUCUGCAUUCUCUUCUGAGCCGUUUCGUUUGGGGGUCUCGAUGUGGAAAUGAAUUGAGGGAAGAUAUUUGUCUGGGUGAUGGAUGAAGAUAUGAGUCCGUCGCUGUGAAGACAGGUUUCCCCCUUCUUUUCAUUUCGUGAAACGGAGAGGACUCGGACUUUUCGAGCUUGCGAAGGGAAGAGAUGGAGAGGGUCUAUAACAUUGGGAGCUUGAUGGUCAGUUUGGGUACUUGGGGAGUUCAAAAGAGUGAUUUUUGGAGGUUGCGCAAUUCGUCAUAUGUCGAAAGUUAUGCGAUUGCCCUCUCCCUCAAUUGCUGUGCUUGCAGCAGUUGGGUCAUGGAGGGUAACUCGAUGGGGCUUAUUCUCGAGACGCGG